CAGCAGCCGCGGUAAUACGAGGGGGGCAAGCGUUGUUCGGAAUUAUUGGGCGUAAAGGGUGCGUAGGCGGUUUGGCAAGUCUUAUGUGAAAUCUUCGGGCUCAACCCGAAGUCUGCAUGAGAAACUACCGGGCUUGAGUAUUAGAGAGGUGAGUGUAAUUUCCGGUGUAGCGGUGAAAUGCGUAGAUAUCGGAAGGAACACCUGUGGCGAAAGCGGCUCACUGGACAAUAACUGACGCUGAUGCACGAAAGCUAGGGGAGCAAACAGGAUUAGAUACCCCAGUAGUCCCUGUCUCUUAUAC
rnacentral:rRNA from 1 species